rnacentral:rRNA from 1 species
GACGAACGCUGGCGGCGUGCUUAACACAUGCAAGUCGAACGGACAGGCCCUGCUUUCGGGGUGCUCGCGUGGGGAACGGGUGAGUAAGUCGUGGGUGAUCUGCCCCUUUCUUUGGGUUAAGUAUGGGCAACUAGGUCUAAUACUGGCCAGGACCAUGCUGUAGGUGGUGUGGUGGAAAGUGUAGUUUCGGUUUGAUGUGAGCUCGCGGCGUAUCCGCGUGUUGUUGGGGUAAUGGCCUACCAAGGCGUCGACGGGUAGCCGGCCGCAGAGGGUGGACGGCCACAUUGGGACUGAGAUACGGCGCAGACUCCGACGGUAGGCAGCAGUGGGGAAAAUUGCACAAUGGGAGCAAGCCUGAUGCAGCGACGCCUCGUGGGGGAUGACGGCCUGCGAGUGGUAAACUCCUUUCAGCCAAGACAAAGCCCUUGUGGUGACGGUAGUGGUAGAAGAAGCACCGGCUAACUACGUG